rnacentral:tRNA from 1 species
GGUAAGGUGGCUGAAUGUUCAGGCGUUGGGCUGUAGACCCUUUUAUAGGGGGUUUAAUUCCCCUUCUUAUCA